CUUCCUCUCCCGAGCAAGAUCAAAACCACCUGCUUCGGUCCUAAGCAAAAUCGCAGCAUAAAUCGUUUCAUUCUGCCUCCUCGUCCGAUCCUCUCUUCCUCCUCCUUCCUCUCUUCGCUCUUCCCGGCUAAGGUAGGGGCCGACGAGAUCCGAACAGCGAGAGGACGCCCACGACCACCAUGGCACGGUUGGUCGGCAACGUGAGGGAAUCCGAAGGAAGAGAGAACAGCACCGAGAUCCAGGAGCUCGCUCACUUUGCCGUCGACGAGCACAACAAGAAACAGAAUGCGCUUUUGGAGUUUGUGCGUAUUGUGAAGGCGAGGGAGCAAGUUGUCGCUGGAACUCUGCAUCACUUGAUGGUGGAGGUAGUUGAGGGAGGGGAGAAGAAGAUUGAUGGAAUCGUUAUUUUGGUGCCGUUAUUUUGGUGUUCAUUAUUGUGCCGUUAUUUUGGUAUGUCGGAAUCGUUAAUCUGGUCCCUGCGCUACCGUGAGCUCAGUCCUGGUGACGACCUAGGACACGAAUCGGGUCUCCGAGGUUGGAAGACCUCUGCCGCAAGGAAGGGAGUGAACUGCCGAAGCCCAAGCUACAUCGCCGCCAAGCCCAUGCUCCGGCAGCUUCCUCACAGGCGGUUCUUCUGAAUUCCGAAGACCUUCGUACAUCCUGACUCUCAUCCUACUAACCUGCCAAAGGAGGCGUUGCAUGCCCCCGCCUUCACUGAAGUAGCACCGCCUGAGUCGAACCCUUACAUCACUCACUCACCCGCCACUAACUCUUCCUCGUCGACAAGUACAGUGGAGACUGUGAAGAUCGUGGUUAAGAGAUGGGGAAAAAACUCGUGGAGUUGGCGAAGAAAGCUGAGGACUUGUCUAAAAAUACAUGGCAGCAUCUGAACACAGGACCAAGUUUUGUUGAAGCUACCAUGGGAAGAAUUGCUCAAGGAACCAAAGUGAUUGGAGAAGGUGGCUACGAUAAGAUAUUUUGACAAACUUUUGAUACCCUUCCUGAAGAACAGCUAAAAAAAUCCUAUGCCUGUUAUUUAUCAACAUCUGCUGGUCUGAAUGGAGUUAUUAUAAGUGUGGGUGAAGACAUGGCUUAAUUUCAAACAGGUUGAAGAAUUCAAGCAUGUUGACGAACAAGAAAAUUGGGUCAUAUAGUCAAAGAAAUGCCUUAAGGUGUGGUCUAUGGUGGGCAGAAAUGCUCAAGGCCACGGGGCAGUUCAAGGAUGCCGCAAAUAUAUUUUUUUUUUUUUGCAUUUCUAAUGAGGAGCCUUCUCUGCAUGCAGCUGUGAUGCUUGAACAAGCAUCCUACUGCUAUUUGCUUUCCAUCCCGCCAAUGUUACGCAAGUAUGGUUUUCAUCUUGUUUUGUCUGGAAAUCGUUAUUACAUUUCUGAUCAGAGACAACAUGCGAUUCGAGCUUACAGGAAUGCACUCUUCGUUUACAGAGAAAAUGGUUGGAGUUAUAUAUCUGAUCAUGUUCACUACAAUGUUGGAAGGUUCUCUAUGCUUUGUUUGUAUAUUUGUGCAUUUAUCUUUGAUGCUUUUGACCUUAUCUCCUUCCAUUUACUUACGUGGUAUUCUUUUAUUGGAGUUCUUGAUUUGGCUAUCAAGCAUAUGCUGGAGGUUUUGGCUUGCAGUCAUCUGUCCCUAGCCACACAAAAUGUAUUCCUUAAUGAAUUUUCCGAUGUUGUCCAGCUGAAUAUGAUUCUUUUACUUCAUUUGUAAUUGCAAAUUCAACUUUUUGAUACCUUGUGAACCACUGAAGAUCCUUAUUGCAAGCAUUGAAGUGAUUGAAGAGUUUGCUAAGAGUCCAUGUUUGGAGCACUACAAGAACCUUGGAGCAACUUAAUAUUUCGAAUAAGAUGUAGUAGGAGCAUAUAGAGCCUGCGUUGUGUUCUCUCUAUAGAAAAAUGUUCUACUCUUAAUUUCCCUUAAUACUGGAUAUAUGAUGUAGUAAACUAAAUUCUUGAGUAAAUAAAAAAAUAUUUAAGUACUAA